AGGACGAACGCUGGCGGCGUGCUUAACACAUGCAAGUCGAGCGGAAAGGCCCUUCGGGGUACUCGAGCGGCGAACGGGUGAGUAACACGUGAGUAAUCUGCCCCUAGCUCUGGGAUAGCUCCGGGAAACCGGGAUUAAUACCAGAUAUGACCACUUUAGACAUCUGCUGUGGUGGAAAGAAUUUCGGCUAGGGAUGAGCUCGCGGCCUAUCAGCUUGUUGGUGGGGUAACGGCCUACCAAGGCGACGACGGGUAGCCGGCCUGAGAGGGCGACCGGCCACACUGGGACUGAGACACGGCCCAGACUCCUACGGGAGGCAGCAGUGGGGAAUAUUGCGCAAUGGGCGAAAGCCUGACGCAGCGACGCCGCGUGGGGGAUGAAGGCCUUCGGGUUGUAAACCCCUUUCAGCAGGGACGAAGCGAAAGUGACGGUACCUGCAGAAGAAGCGCCGGCUAACUACGCGCCAGCCAGCCGC
rnacentral:rRNA from 1 species